AAUACGUAUUGUAAAGUGGCGCACGGGUGAGUAACACGUGGGUAAUCUGCCCUUGAGUUUGGGAUAACCCCGCGAAAGCGGGGCUAAUACCGAAUAAGACCACGGAGACCAACGUCUCUGAGGUAAAAGGUGGCCUCUAUUUAUAAGCUACCACUUGAGGAUGAGCCCGCGGCCCAUUAGCUAGUUGGCAGGGUAACGGCCUACCAAGGCGAUGAUGGGUAGCUGGUCUGAGAGGACGAUCAGCCACACUGGAACUGAGACACGGUCCAGACUCCCACGGGAGGCAGCAGUGGGGAAUAUUGCGCAAUGGGCGAAAGCCUGACGCAGCAACGCCGCGUGGGGGAUGAAGGUUUUCGGAUUGUAAACCCCUUUCGAUCGGAACGAAUCUCCUCUUGGUAAAUAAUCAGGAGGGUCGACGGUACCGAGAGAAGAAGCCACGGCUAACUCUGUGCCAGCAGCCGCGGUAAGACAGAGGUGGCGAGCGUUGUUCGGAUUUAUUGGGCGUAAAGCGAACGCAGGUGGUUUGGUAAGUCAGGGGUGAAAGUCCGCAGCUUAACUGCGGCACUGCCUUUGAUACUGCCUUUCUUGAGUGCAUGAGGGGGAAGCGGAAUUCCGAGUGUAGAGGUGAAAUUCGUAGAUAUUCGGAGGAACACCGGUGGCGAAGGCGGCUUCCUGGCAUGUAACUGACACUCAUGUUCGAAAGCGUGGGUAGCAAACAGGAUUAGAUACCCUGGUAGUCC
rnacentral:rRNA from 1 species